GCCGGCCCCACUUCAUAAGGCAGUCUGGAGUCUGGAGGAACCUCGAAUACUGGCUCUCUCCCUCUCUCUCCCUUUCUUUCUACCUUUCCCUCUGUCUGUUUUUGUCUUUAUCUCUCUGUACCUCUCACCCGUUCCUGUCCACCCAGACCUCCAGGCCUCCUCCAGCAGACCUCAUCCUUCCUGGGCAGGAACGGAGGCGAGGACCAGGCCAGGACCAGGACUAGGACCAGAGAGACCCCAGCACUCAGGUGUGUUGACUAAGGGUCAAUCUAAAGGAUGUGGAGGGGAACAGUGACGAUGAAAAGCAGGAUUCUGAGUUCAACAGCUUACUGUAUCUCUCUUUCCUGGUAGAGGAGAAGACAGGUAAGGUACAAGAGUCUGUGUGGAUCUGGAAGGAUCUACGAGAGCAGUCUGGUCCUCCUGUCCAUGCCUUCCUCAAGACGGUAGACCCUAGUCCCCCACAUCCAGCUGAAGGGUGGGGGGGUGGAGGGUAGGCCCUUAACUUCUUGCCCAGUGUGAGGGAGUAGGCUGUGGUUCCUCUAGCCCUAGGUGCAGUGCUGCAUCUCUGGUCAGUUGGGAGUCUGAGAUGAAGCACUGUAGCUCGGGAAGGAGAGAGAUUUCUGCGUCAUCGAUCGUCUCCAAACCUCCUUUGAGGUUUCUUUUUUUUUUCUCUCUCUCUAUGAGGGUUGAUUCGUUUUUUCCACUGUGAAGGUUUAGUUGGUUACUCGGGCUGAUCUUUGGGCAUUUCUGAAGCCCUUUGUGACAUUUGUUUUAAAAAAAAGACUGCAAAUGAACUCCUACAUUGGUCCUCACCAGCAUUCAUAUCUCCACCAUUUCCUCUCAUCCUCAACUGUUCCUGAUUUUCAUCUCCUCCUUCCUCGCUCCCGGGGUCCAGUUUUCCCAGGAAUCCCUUGGCCAAUCACUAGGGGGAUUCCUGGAAAUACUGUUCUUGGGGGUGGGGCUUAACAUCGUGGUGACCAAUGCAUUCUGUUGAUAGAUUACCACCCCUGUGUGUUGUGAAUGUUUGUUCUUGGCUGGUAUGUGGCAACUAAUAGCCAUGAAGAUGAAAUAUUAGUUCUGCUGUACGUCUGUGCUGAAGCCAUAUCCAAUCCACACUGGCUGCAUGUCAAGCUUCAUGUUUGUUUCUGUUUAACUUUCUGUCAUGUUAAAAUGAACGUCGUCUUCAGGGGUUACAUUUUUUUAUGGGCUUUAAGGGGGAGACCACUUCAUUUCUGUAAAUUAUAAAAGCUUAAAUAAAAUGUAUUCAUCGUGUUGUGUUGUCCUUGCAAUUUGUCAGUAUUGCAGAACUGUGAGAAACUGUGUUGAAGGAAAGCAAAUAUAGCAUCUCAUUCAUGGCCUAAACAGAGGAAACAUCGUCUUCUAUGUGUUCUCAUAAGAACUACAGCAUACGUGCAGAAAAUUUAUGGCCACCAGGGGUCGCAGGUGAGCUAGUUUGCUUGUUUUCUCGGGUAUCGGCCGCAAUUAUCGAGUAAGCCUCUCUACAAUCUUGGAUGAUAGAUCCACAUGAUAAGAUGUUUUACAUAGCUCUAUUGGUCUUGGGGUAUUCACACACACGCAUUAAAUGCUUCCUAUAAUCAUGUUUGUGUUGGAAAGGAGAGGGAAGUAAAACUCAUACAAACUACCAUCUGAACAGGUCAAUGUAUGAUUUGGAACUAGGAGGUGAUUUUGGGGUUAGAGGCUGUACGAGGUACUGACUGAGACAGGUCACAAACUGGGGGGUCAGAACUUUGGGGUAUAUCAAGGCUGGGAGGCGAUGAUGAAUGCAGUUUCGACCACGCCUUACAACCAUCAUGUUGGUGGCAUUGUUGACAUUUCCCAAAACCACUCAUAUCGUACGACAAACUAUAUUUUGCUUUUAAUUUUUCCCCUGGGGUUCAUAAAGCAUGACUACACAGAAAAACAGGCACCGUUUCACAUUACUUUGUAUUUUGUAAUACACGUUAUUUUUUAAUACAGACAUAUAGGUGUCUAACAUGUUUUGUAGUUUUUCUCUCCAAAACAAUCAGAAAACAGCACCCUGAUGUCAAGAAGGUGACUUGGUAUUCUAAACGCCUCAGGCUCUACCAAUAUACCCAAAAAGCCUUUUUUCUAAAUUCACUUACUGAGGUCAAGUUAGUUUCAGGUUGGAUAUCUAUUUGCUAACAAAAACUCUAUGGAUGUGAAACAGAACUGAGAAUGGAAUUGUACAGAACACAUAUCAAGGGAAGUUAUGCUUUUUGAAUCUGUCAUAUCAGAACGGGUAUUUCUGGUUCCGUAACCUGCUCUUCUUACUCAUCAAAAGGUCGGAGGCCAGGAGGGGGGAGGAGGGGGGAGUACAGGUAAUGACUUGUAAAGGUACGAAUAUCACAUGCCACUCUUAAAGGUUACGCAGACAAAAGGGAGGGGCAUGCAUGCAAACAUGUAUGCACACACACACACACAAACUCUUUUACUUUCUUUCGAAUGUAUUCAAUGACUCUCUGUCACUCUUGUAAUCUCAUAGUUUCACAUAUGUAAACGUGGCACUCACACUCAUUCUCUCUGUCUCUCUCUCUCUGUCUCUCUCUCUCUGUCUCUCUCUCUGCUGGGCCAACUAGUACAAGAUUUACAGUACUUCCCCCUAACCUGCUGAUAAACCAAGAUUAACACACCUUUGGGUGCGGCCCUGGCAUACCGUGUCUCUCUGAUUCACUGUGUUCCAGGAACACAACCACAGUUUCUCACUUAAUCACUCACACACACACACACACAGGAGCACUCCAACACACACACAAUGAGCACUCCCUAAGGCGUGUCUCCCUGUGAUCUCUGCCUCAGUCUGGCAGGUGCAUGCUGGGUAUCGGUGUGCUAGUGCCCUGUAACGGGUUUAUAGCACACCAGCCGUCCAGCCAGCAUCCCCACCAGGUGGCCGGUCUCCGCAGGAACAGAAAGUGACUGUUAGAGUGGCCCACCGGAGACGCCCUACCAGAAGAACACCAGCUCAUCUAUAAUAGACUAACACAUCCCCCAGCUCUGCCUCAACUACUCUUCUCUGCCCCAGGAGGGUGGCACUCCAUGUGUACCAAAUCAUAUUUCAUAAUAGCAGUGUUGUAACAUGAGGGGGGCGAUGCAUAGUAUAUGAGCACGACCCCUUUCAGCCUGAUGUAAGGUGAUGCCUGCCUGGGUCACUGGAUGAUUACAACACCUGCAGGAAAGAGGAGGGGGGUCUACAGAGACAAUGCUGAUCAACAACACGUUGGAAACAGACACACACGCAGGAGAGAGAAGAUGAUCUGGAGACGGUAGUAAUGAGAAGGCAAUCUAAAUCAAUGGUUAUGGAGGACUCUGGAGAGGCCAGUAUGUAGGGCAUUUUCAUUGUGGCCACUCUUUAUGCUAGUUAUUCGACACAUAAUUGUAUGUGACUAACACACUAAGUUGUGCUCAUGACAUGACAAUGGAUAUUUGAAAAAGCUUUAGAAAACGCAUACGUAACUUUAAAAAAAUUAUAGCUAUAUUAUAUAGCAAGGCAGUAGCACACUGUUUUGGACUUCUGGUUCGUUAAAUCGAUGAUCAAUUUUAGAACACGCUAACUGUAUGUGAGGCAGUGAAAGAGAGUGAAUAACCUUUGAGCUACAGACACAGGAGCUUCUGUGGGCUAUUGGAAGAUCCCUGCGUGCUUGUACAUGUGAGCCGAAGUAUAAAGCUGCAAUUGUGGUCCCUGUCUACAAGCUGACGCAUGGACAUACGAUCCCUUCUCCUGUUUGAUCCUGUAUGACACAAUGCUGUAGCGCAGUUUCACACGAACGCCACAUUGGGGCGCGGUCUCGGUACAAUUGGGCUAAGCUUGGCGACUUCAGUAUGACAGGAACGUAGAAUGUACGUCAACGUCGUCUUUAUGAAUGCAAACCAAAAUGCUAUUAUCCACAAUACAAACAUGUGGCAACAAAGUAAGCUACAUCUUAAAUGUACCGUAUUCGUGCCUUGUAAUGUUGUUUUCGAGCUGAUCAUGUAGUCCUCAAAAGUCAAUAAUGUAAAAAGUAUUCCCUUUAUUUGUCUUUAAAGUCCGUCCAACUAUGGGUAGGCUAACUAAUACAUUUCAUUAUGUUCUGUUAUGCUACUUGAUGUUGAGUAUUAGGCAACAAUCUGUGCUGUCUGCACUUUUAACAUACAUAAAAGCUCCUCGAACCAGCAGAAAAACAGGAUCACUAACCAUCUUACACACACACACACACGCGCGGUUAUUAUCUACUUCCAGUAGCCUACAUUAAAGAGAAGUGAUAUAGCCUAUAUGCCAGGCAGCCAUAACUGGCCGUGGGUUAAAUGUGCAGGCCUACUGAACCACGAGCUAACUUAACUGGUACCGUUAGACAUUCACAGAGCGAGAAUAUACCCAGAGGUGCCAUCACCACUGUAAAAGUAGUGUUGCCAAAUGUUAUCGUCAGACACAAUAUGGUGGAUGCAUAAAAUCAUAAAAGUUACCUAUUUU